UCUGUCUGUGUCUGCCUGUCCCCAAAAUAAAGGGGGGCGGCGCCUCCUCUCCCGAGGGGGAGCCCCGGGCCCGGCCCCCCCCCCCGGCCGCUGUCACCCCCCGGGGGCUCGGGGUGGGGGGGUGAUGCCGGGGGAGCCCCGGCCCCGCUGCUCUCGGAGGGCUUUGUUGUUCCUAACUUCUGCUCGGGAGAAGUUUGCGUGGUGAAAGGCAGAUUUAUUUGGGUUUACAUGCACUGGAAUCACAACUGUAACAAUUAUGAACUGUCAAAAUAAAUGCGAAGAUGAAGCUGAUUGUUUAACAAAAAAAUCUGUGUAGCUCUUAAGCUGUUUAAAUAUUUAGCCAGGAAUACUUAGUGGCAUUUUCUGGUGUUGGUUUUUUCUUUGUUGUUUUUUUUUUUUGAUUUUUUUUUCCACCCUUUGGAGCCAAAUUUUGUCCUUGGUUACACCUGCACCAGCCCAGACUCAUGUCUGGCAGAGAUCUCCUCCCGGUGUAAGCCAAGGGAGGAUCUGCUCCCCCCGAGAGCCUCCGCGUGGCUGGCGAGAGGCUCGUGUGGGUGAUGGUGAACCAGUGCUGGGGAUGGCCAGGCUCCCCGCUGCCACCCCUCUCACCUGGUGAGCCCGUCCACCAGUGUCCUACGUGAGCCGUGGAGAGGAGCGUGGACGUGUCUUUGUCGGCAAGAGUGGGAUUUGCAAGCUGAGGAUUUGGACAAAAUUCUCUUCUUCCUCAAACAAAGCCCCGGUUCGUGUCGUUAGGGGUUUUGUGGGAAUAUGGACUCGAGAAUUUGGCCGUAGCCCUUCCUGGAGGGGAAUCGAGGAGCAAGUUUUAUGUUCAGAACUUGUAGGGUGUUUUGGAAAAAAUGUCUUUUGUGUUUCACUCCUUAUUUAUUUAUUUUCCACUUGAAAUGAAAAUUGCUGUGCUUUUUUUCCCCGUUACAAAGCCAAGAAUGGCUACUACUUGCAUCCUGUUGUAAUCCUAUAUCGCUAAAAAGGAGCACAGAAACAUUACCCAGUUCUGCCAGCUAAUAUCACAUUCAGAUAAAACAAUAGCUCGCACACUGAGACUUGACAUACUUUUAAUGUUCAUGUGAUAGGUGGCACAUUUUGACCUAACGAUUUCAUGCUGCGUGGAGAAAUAAUGUCACAAAAUCAUUGUUAGGUGCUUUUCCCUGCAGCUCGGUGUAUGUGUUGAGAAAGUUGUUUCCGAGGAUCAGAGGGAGAUGAAGGUGUCUCAGGCACAAGCCCAACGUAGCAGGAAUUACCGCGUGCAUUGCUCGUAGCAGCCUCAAAUUUUCACUGCGAUUUCAGCGCUGGCAAGGAGGUCGUGAGAUGUCUCAGCCCAGGGGAGAUGUUCAGGUUCUUGUCUCAACUCAUACCAGAGCUGAGAAGCCCUGGGUGCUGUGGAGAGAUGCCCUGGUGUUUACACACCUCGUGUUUUGGAUCUGCCUCGGGCUGUUUGGAGCCGUGGAGGUUUCUCCCCAGGUUGCAGAAGAUUUCUGUGCCCAGCAUGACAGGAUUGCCCUACUGGGCUUUGUGCUUGAACUUCAGCCUGUUCUCAGGCUUAGUGCAGCCAAGAGUGUGAGACAGAGGGUGUGUUUAGUCUGCUUGUUGGUAAUAGCAGUGAGGAUCGAUGUUCAGAACUUCACACCAUGGGAAGAUCUAAACCCCUGCUCCAGGACAGGCAGCGUGUGGGUUGGUUGGCACAGGGGGGAUGUGGAGGGACGAGGCUGAGCACCCUGCUCAUGAGCCCACCUUUGUGGCAGGAGGUGUGUGAGUUGGGUGGGAGCCGGCUGUUGCCCCCGGGGAUCUUUUUGUGGGUACUGUGAAUAAAGCUGUGAACAAGAGCAAGGAUUUCCACAUAGCUUUGUUUUGCUUGACCUUUUCUAAAUGCCUUGUGUUGGGGUGACUGAAAAGCCCAAAUUGUGCAAAACGCCAGGUUGUGUGGGGCUUGUGGACUCUAAGGGGACACCGGUGCUGCAGGAGAAGAUGCACCUGAUGGCCACUGUAGUUCCAACAGGAGUCCUCUGUGUCUGUUAACACCAAUUACGGGCAUGUUGAUAAAAUUUCCCAUCCCUUAAAGCACAAUUAUCUCUUUAAGCAGCUCCCACUCUUAGAGCUGCUUUUCUGUCCAGGUAUCAGUAGCCUCCUCUGCUUCUGCAGUGUAAAUUGUUUGGUGUAGAAAGAGAGGCCGUCUGCUUCUAGUUAUCUGCAGCAGGGUUUAUGACAGCCUGGACCUUGAUCUCCUUUAUAUUUGUGUGGGGAAUAGCAGGGGAAGAGGGAAGUGGGCAAAGACAGCAGGUUCUCAUUGACUUUUUUUUGGUUGUUUUUGUCUUGGAGCAACAGUUGAGCAAAUCUGGUGUUACUGCAAACGUGGCCAGACUGCUUCUUGCCUGGUCUGAUGAGGCUCUGCUGUAGUGAGGUGCUCUGAAGGCCCGUGCCCCACAGGGAGCUCUGACCUUCAGCAGCCCCCAGGUGCCUCUGGUUUAGCACAGCGGUGUGGUCCUGCAGCUUGAUCUCAGCACCGCGUCCUCCCGCGGGUGGCCUUGCUGGGACGAUGUGCAGCAGGCUCUGUGCAUCGCUCCACGGCACUCACUCACCCCUCAGCUCUCUGGCCUCCCAAAAUCUUCUAGUCUGGAAGAGGAGAAGGGUGCAGACAUCUGGUGUCUGUGCUCAGCAGGACACCGAGCUGACCUCUUGCUGUAGCCUGCACCUCUGGCAUGUUUGUUUCCAACAAUCACUGCGUGAGGUUCUCCAAACCCAGCUUUGCAUUGUUGAUGCUGGUUUGACAGGGAAAGGGUGUUCCUUCAGGAGGUGAUAAAUGGAUCUGUUGGGGUGACUUUGUGUGAUGUGCUGGGGAGGUUUCUGUGGAGCUCUCAGGCAGGUGGGAUUGCACAGAUGUCUCCUUCCUCCCCCGGCACGUCGGGCAGGAGGGUGAUGUGGCAGGGCUGUUGGUGUGCGGUGAGGAAGGUGGUUUGCUGUGAUGAGAAACGAAAUCUGACCUGAAUGUUAAGAUAGCUUAAAGCCUGGGAAGUACUCUGUGUUUCCUGAGUCAGCUCCAACCAUCCCUACGGAGCAAGCAGUUGGUUUUGGGUUUUCUGAACCCUGAGUAAGGUAAUGAGCUUUUUCUGCGGAUGUUUGUUUAGCUUCAGCUCGGGCAGUUCAUCUGACAAGCUUGAAAUGGGACAGAGAUAUUUAUUUAUAAAGCACAGAUAGAAAUGGCACAGGGAGGGGUGAGCUUGCAUUUAAAUGGUGCAUCUUGUUCCGUAAAACCAGCGCAGUUCCUCACCACACGUUCAAACUAAUUUUUGUUCAGUAUGCAGACAUCAGUCUGUUUCGAGACCAUGCUAAAUUAUCGUCAGGUAAAGCCCAAUGUAAUUAAUUACAAAUGAGAAAUGCUGACAAAUAUUUGUCAAGGAGCUGCUUAAUGAGUUUCAAAUUCUGUGUCGGAUGAUUCCAUCCACCUAGUGUAAAUAAUUUUUAAGCAAUUGUUCCACUGAGUUUGUGUGAUUUAGGCAGAUGUUAGCUAUGGCAGUUCUACCUAUUGAGGGCACAAAAUAAUGCAAGACUAAAUGGAGUAAAACUUAACAGCUGAUAGCGGCUUUUAAAUAGAAACAGUGCUGUUACACAUACAAAAUGUGGAAAUAAUGGGAGGUUUUAAAGAUGCUGUGGUCUAAACAGCAUGUCUGUGUGCUGUGUACACACAGUGUAACCCUGUGUGUGCAUCUGAAGGCAGGAAUUUGCUUUAAUAACCAUUGUGUGGUGCCCACCAAAACCACUCAUCAAUAGGUUGGUUGUGUGGCAGCAGAAGCUUGGGCUCGGACACCAGAACAACUGGCUGGCAGUGGGGUUUCUCCCCAAAUCGUGCUCUUCACACCAGCCUUUUCGUGGCUUGAUUAGCCUUUACUUAAAAUCUCUGAGAUUCCGACAGUUUGUCCUGCCUUGUCUCUAUCCUUUUAUAUUUCAGAAGGAAUUUGAUCUUCGUGUCUUACCGCAGCAGCAUCAUAACAUCAGGUGUUUGUUCAGUGCUGUCAGCAAAUCUUGGUAGUCCUUCCUGUAUUUAUUGACUGCUUAGGUUCUUUGGUGUUUGUCCUAGUCUGUUUGCACACGCAUGUCUUCAGAUUUAGACCAGCAGAGAAAAGAAGGUAGUAACUAAAUGAAGGUAUCUGCGGAUAACAAGUGGCAUUAGGUUUUGUGUGACGCUGGGAUAUCAUAUGAAGCGAUGUGCUUAUUAUUUUCAUUAUGUGUUUAGAGGAAACAGUAAAUUGACCUGAGAUCAAAUUUUGAGAUAACCUUGACAGAACAGCUGAAUCUCUCGAUGAAAACCCUCUGCGACCAGAGAUGAAAAAACAGCAACCAAAACUGAAACCGGGACUGCGAGCAGCAGGAUGUGUGUUCCACAAAAGGAACCUCUCGGGUAAUUUUUGAAACCUACGUUACUAUAAUUUGGACAUGUGAAUAAAAGCCUGUUACUUUUCUGUGAGGCUGGGCACCCCCAGCUCCCCCCGAUUCAUGUAGCUGUUGAAGAGCUGUUAUCAUCUCUUCGCGCACAUAAUGACUGAGGAUUGUGAUCCUUGCAUAAAUACUCUUUUAAACUCCUGAAGGUAACAAUGUAAUGAAGGUGGGGAUUUUUGCCUUUCCCAUGGGUGGUAGUAGGAGGCACAAUGGCCUUGAGUUAAAGAAGGAAGAGUUUAAACUAUAAGGACAAGUUCUUUAGAUAGAUGUGAUUCAAGUAGUCUCCACUGGCCCCGCUCUUUAAGCUCAACAUUAAUGGGAAUUAUACCACGUAUCAAUAGGACAAAAGACACCCUUAUCCUUUUUUAUCUUGGCAUCUUUUUUUUUUCUCCUCUGCUAUUUGGGUGAGAAAGUAAGCCCUUUCUCAUUAAAUAUCUGGGGCCUCUGCUGGGAUGAGGGAGUGUAAAGAAACAGAUUUAUAAAAUAAGGGUAAAGGAUCAGGAACUUGGAAGGAAAAUGAUCACUAGGGAAAGGCCAAAAAAUCAGCAGAAAGACAUCAAGGGGCUGAGUAAUUGAAAGAUUGAGUUACAACGCUGAGAUCAAUAGAGGAAUAUCAGGGACUGGAUGGGAACACAACUGGAGGGAGAUGUUCCUGGGAGCUGCAGGUGGGGUCUGCUCUGUGCCCUGGUGGGAGCCCUGCCCGCACUGCUGGGGAACGCUCAGCCCCUGCCUAAGUGUUGUUAAACCUGGUAACUCUUCAGCUGAGAGAGAGAGGCAGGAUUCCUCGCUCAAUGAAAUGCCCCCCUUUCUCCCCAUCUGUUAGUUUUUUUAUUUUUUUUUAAUGUUUCUGGCAAUUUGAGUGGAAGACCCUUCCGUAUUACACUGGGGGUCUGACCUGCAGCCUUGUAAUUAUCUGCAGCUAAAUUAGAAGUUUAAUCUUUGUUCUGAGCAACAAUAAGUUGAGUCAGAUAGGUUUUAAAAAUAGCCUAAGCUCAAGUUUAGUGAAGUCUCAAAUGCAAUUAAUAAAAGGGUAACGGAGUUAGGAGGUUGUGGGCUGAAACGUGGCAAUGUUUAACUCUGAGCUUUCCUCUACUCAAACUGCAGCCUUCUGCGAGGGAAACUACUUGCGCUGUUUCUCUAUGUUCAUGUAUAUCAUCCGUACGAUUUAUCAGCUCAGUAUCUGUAUUCUCGCUGGGGUUUGGCUUGGUGUGUGCCACAAAUUACCAGCUGCAUGCAUUUCUUGUGUAGUUGGUUUGUUGUCGUGUUGACGUGGUGCCAAGCCAUGGUGAAGACCACUUCAGAACAUCACAGUCCUCUAAAUUCCUUUGUUGUAAAAUGGAUAUUAUGAAAAUCUACUUUGUAAGUAAUGAGAAAUGGCUAAUGCAGGUAGGGAUUUGUUUUGCUGUAACAGCAGAACGUGCAGUGGCAAUUUGUCAGAUCCCCAGCUCAGCUCCUGCUGUACUGUUUGCCUUUAAAUAGUGUGUUACCUUAAUAUCUUGAGAUUUUUCUCCUUGUAUCUUGGCAACACUGCUGCUGAAGUUCACACACUCGUGUGCUGGAGAGGGAAGGCUUUAACCAGAAGGGUAAAUCUUUAGUCUGGUAAACGCAAUAAGGAGGAGUUUUGGUUCUGCCUUACUGUCUGCUGGAGCGGCGGCGUGAAAGUCUGCAGGGGAAGUGGGUUAUUCCCCGGCACCGCGCGUAUUUCUCUCUUUGUGGCUUUUUGCCUGUCAGGUGUAAUUUGAUCACGUUGCUUGACAUUCACUCCUUGUGGAUUUACUUGAGUUUUGUUCGGUGUGCUGCUUGGUCCUCCUGGUUUUAAGAUCUCCCGAGAUGAAGAUGUGGUAGGGGUGCAGAGGUGUGUUAAUAUCCGCUGUGUCCAAGUGCCCGGCUGUCUGGACUUCAGGCUCUGUAAUGCUGCUUGGUGCACUGAUGUGAUUGAUAUCCCAAGUCCAAGUGGGAAUAGUUACUCCACAGCUAUGCAGGAGAUCAGCUUGGUGUUCUCUGCAGAAAUGAUCGCCCAUUAAUCUGGUGUGCACGUUUGCCAGCUUUACAGAGUGGAAGUUGCUUCUCCUCUAAAACCAGUGCUUUUAUAAAUUGCAUCUUUUUGUGCUUUUGUUCGGUAGCAAAGGGGGAAUUAUAGGUUUGGAAAUAAAAACACCAACAAUCUGUUUUCUCCAUCCACAAGCCCAGGCUUGCCCUUUGCUGGAUGAGCCCAUGACAAUGAGCAGACUUCUCCAGCCUUCGAGGUGUGUGCUGUGCUGGGCAUCCUCUGGACGGAGCCAUCUGGGGCAGGUGUGGGGGUGCUGCAAGAGGAUCAUGCACACUGCAGUCAGAGAGGGAAAUAGAGGUGUGUUUUGCACUCCCAUGCAAUUGUAUGAUGGACAGACCAAGAACUGAAUUCAUGAAGGUCUUUAAGAAGCUGUGCUCCGUAACGAGCUAUGAGAGGGAUGAUUUUUUAAGAGGAUGGCUGGUAACAGGUAACCAAGUUUGCAGAUUGCUCUGAAGUGCCCUACUGCUGCUGUUAACUCACCCUCCUGGCACGCCAAAGGCAUUUUUCAUUACUUUGCCUGUGAAACGGAACCAAGAAGACAACUGGUUAGUGCCAACCUUUCCUGGACCACACACAGGUUGCUGUUGGCAUGGGCAGACCUCUCAAUGUGAGGAUCGGCUUUUGUGAUGCCUCUUCUCAUGGGUAUGGUGGGAGUGGAGGAGAGGCAGCAGGAUAAACCAGCUCUUUGAUAUAAAAUGUGUUGGGAGCAUCCUUCCAGGGUCCUCCAGACGCUGACAUCUGGUCCCCAGCUUCCCCAGGACAUGGGCAGGAGCUGGGAGGUGCUGCUGUGGCAAGAGCUGGAUAACAUGCUCUCUCCAGCUUGCUCCAGAGCUGGCCAGAUGUGCUGAAUGGCCAGGCACAGCACAAAACCCAUUGGAGAGGGGCUGGGGCAGAGAAAGUAGAUUUGACCUCAGAGGAGGCCCUGUGGUAAGAAGGCAGAGGAAGAAGUGCUGCUGGUGGGGACAAUUUAUGUUGCAACUCUGCUAGCAUUGUGGGUUUUAAUGCAUGUCAAGGGCACUUUGACCUUUGAAUGGAAUCUUCUGGUGUGAAAUUGUGUCUUUUCUCCUUUCUUUUCUUCCCUUAAAAAAAAAUUCAAAAUAAAUACUGAAAAUCAGAACCGUCUGUUUUGAGGGGA